rnacentral:rRNA from 1 species
CGCCAGACUCCUACGGGAGGCAGCAGUGGGGGAUAUUGCACAAUGGGGGGAACCCUGAUGCAGCGACGCCGCGGGGGUGAAGAAGCGCCUCGGCGCGUAAAGCCCUGUCAGCAGGGAAGAAGAUGACGGUACCUGACCAAGAAGCUCCGGCUAAAUACGUGCCAGCAGCCGCGGUAAUACGUAUGGAGCAAGCGUUAUCCGGAUUUACUGGGUGUAAAGGGAGCGCAGGCGGCCUUGCAAGUCUGAUGUGAAAGGCCGGGGCCCAACCCCGGGACUGCAUUGGAAACUGCGAGGCUGGAGUGUCGGAGAGGCAGGCGGAAUUCCUAGUGUAGCGGUGAAAUGCGUAGAUAUUAGGAGGAACACCAGUGGCGAAGGCGGCCUGCUGGACGAUGACUGACGCUGAGGCUCGAAAGCGUGGGGAGCAAACAGGAUUAGAUACCCCAGUAAAC